rnacentral:rRNA from 1 species
GAUGAACGCUGGCGGCGUGCUUAACACAUGCAAGUCGAACGGAAAGGCCCAAGCUUGCUUGGGUACUCGAGUGGCGAACGGGUGAGUAACACGUGGGUGAUCUGCCCUGCACUUCGGGAUAAGCCUGGGAAACUGGGUCUAAUACCGGAUAGGACGAUGGUUUGGAUGCCAUUGUGGAAAGUUUUUUCGGUGUGGGAUGAGCUCGCGGCCUAUCAGCUUGUUGGUGGGGUAAUGGCCUACCAAGGCGUCGACGGGUAGCCGGCCUGAGAGGGUGUACGGCCACAUUGGGACGGAGAUACGGCCCAGACUCCUACGGGAGGCAGCAGUGGGGAAUAUUGCACAAUGGGCGCAAGCCUGAUGCAGCGACGCCGCGUGGGGGAUGACGGCCUUCGGGGUGUAAACUCCUUUCGCUAGGGACGAAGCGUUUUUGUGACGGUACCUGGAGAAGAAGCACCGGCUAACUACGUG